rnacentral:rRNA from 1 species
GUGUCAGCCGCCGCGGUAAUACGUAGGUGGCAAGCGUUGUCCGGAUUUACUGGGCGUAAAGGAUGUGUAGGCGGAUAUUUAAGUGAGAUGUGAAAUCCCAGGGCUUAACUUGGGAGCGGCAUUGGAAACUGGGUGACUUGAGUGCAGAAGAGGAAAGCAGAAUUCCAAGUGUAGCGGUGAAAUGCGUAGAGAUUAGGAAGAAUACCAGUGGCGAAGGCGGCUUUCUGGA